GGUGGCUCAGUGGUAGAGUGUUUGCCUUGCAUGCAUGAGGUCCUGGGUUCGAUUCCUUAGUACCA
rnacentral:tRNA from 1 species